rnacentral:rRNA from 1 species
AGAGUUUGAUCCUGGCUCAGAACGAACGCUGGCGGCGUGCUUAACACAUGCAAGUCGAGUGCGCGUACCGUAGCAAUACGGUAUGGCGCACGGCGCACGGGUGCGUAACACGUGGGCAAUCUGCCCUUCGAUGGGGAAUAUCUUCGGGAAACCGAAGCGAAUUCCGCAUAACAUUCCUUGGACUUCGGUUCGAGGACUCAAAGCCGUAAGGCGUCGAAGGAGGAGCCCGCGCACGAUUAGCUAGUUGGUAGGGUAACGGCCUACCAAGGCUUUGAUCGUUAGCUGGUCUGAGAGGAUGGCCAGCCACACUGGAACUGAGACACGGUCCAGACUCCUACGGGAGGCAGCAGUGGGGAAUCUUGCACAAUGGGCGAAACCCUGACGCAGCAACGCCGCGUGGAGGAUGAAGUCCCUCGGGACGUAAACUCCUUUCGAUCGGGACGAUUAUGACGGUACCGGAAGAAGAAGCCCCGGCUAACUUCGUGCCAGCAGCCGCGGUAAUACGAGGGGGGCGAGCGUUGUUCGGAAUUAUUGGGCGUAAAGGGUGCGUAGGCGGUUUGGUAAGUCUUGUGUGAAAUCUACAGGCUCAACUUGUAGUCUGCACGAGAAACUGCCGGGCUUGAGUAUGGGAGAGGUGAGUGGAAUUCCUGGUGUAGCGGUGAAAUGCGUAGAUAUCAGGAGGAACACCUGUGGCGAAAGCGGCUCACUGGACCAUAACUGACGCUGAUGCACGAAAGCUAGGGGAGCAAACAGGAUUAGAUACCCUGGUAGUCCUAGCCCUAAACGAUGACUGCUUGGUGUGACGGGUACCCAAUCCCGCCGUGCCGUAGCUAACGCGUUAAGCAGUCCGCCUGGGGAGUACGGUCGCAAGGCUGAAACUCAAAGGAAUUGACGG